AUUGAACGCUGGCGGCAGGCCUAACACAUGCAAGUCGAGCGGCAGCGGGACCUUCGGGUUGCCGGCGAGCGGCGGACGGGUGAGUAAUGCCUAGGAAUCUGCCUGUUAGUGGGGGAUAACGCGGGGAAACUCGCGCUAAUACCGCAUACGUCCUACGGGAGAAAGCGGGGGCUCUUCGGACCUCGCGCUAACAGAUGAGCCUAGGUCGGAUUAGCUAGUUGGUGGGGUAAUGGCCCACCAAGGCGACGAUCCGUAACUGGUCUGAGAGGAUGAUCAGUCACACUGGAACUGAGACACGGUCCAGACUCCUACGGGAGGCAGCAGUGGGGAAUAUUGGACAAUGGGCGAAAGCCUGAUCCAGCCAUGCCGCGUGUGUGAAGAAGGUCUUCGGAUUGUAAAGCACUUUAAGUCGGGAGGAAGGGCUGUAGGCUAAUACCUUGCAGUUUUGACGUUACCGACAGAAUAAGCACCGGCUAACUUCGUGCCAGCAGCCGCCGUAAUAC
rnacentral:rRNA from 1 species